GAUGAACGCUGGCGGCGUGCCUAAUACAUGCAAGUCGAGCGAACAGACGAGGAGCUUGCUCCUCUGACGUUAGCGGCGGACGGGUGAGUAACACGUGGAUAACCUACCUAUAAGACUGGGAUAACUUCGGGAAACCGGAGCUAAUACCGGAUAAUAUAUUGAACCGCAUGGUUCAAUAGUGAAAGACGGUUUUGCUGUCACUUAUAGAUGGAUCCGCGCCGCAUUAGCUAGUUGGUAAGGUAACGGCUUACCAAGGCAACGAUGCGUAGCCGACCUGAGAGGGUGAUCAGCCACACUGGAACUGAGACACGGUCCAGACUCCUACGGGAGGCAGCAGUAGGGAAUCUUCCGCAAUGGGCGAAAGCCUGACGCAGCAACGCCGCGUGAGUGAUGAAGGUCUUCGGAUCGUAAAACUCUGUUAUUAGGGAAGAACAAAUGUGUAAGUAACUAUGCACGUCUUGACGGUACCUAAUCAGAAAGCCACGGCUAACUACGUG
rnacentral:rRNA from 1 species